GUGGGGAAUCUUCCGCAAUGGACGAAAGUCUGACGGAGCGACGCCGCGUGAGUGAAGAAGGCCUUCGGGUCGUAAAGCUCUGUCAUCAGGGACGAACGGCCGGUGGAGUGGAAAGCCACCGGAUUGACGGUACCUGAGAAGGAAGCCACGGCUAACUACGUGCCAGCAGCCGCGGUAAUACGUAGGUGGCAAGCGUUGUCCGGAAUUAUUGGGCGUAAAGCGCGCGCAGGUGGGAUCUUAAGUCCAUUUUUAAAGUUCGGAGCUCAACUCCGUGAUGGGAUGGAAACUGGGAUUCUUGAGUACCGGAGAGGAAAGCGGAAUUCCCCGUGUAGCGGUGAAAUGCGUAGAUAUGGGGAGGAACACCAGUGGCGAAGGCGGCUUCCUGGCACAAUACUGACGCUCAUGUGCGAAAGCUAGGGCAGCGAACGGGAUUAGAUACCCGAGUAGUCC
rnacentral:rRNA from 1 species